rnacentral:rRNA from 1 species
GACGAACGCUGGCGGCGUGCUUAACACAUGCAAGUCGAACGGAAAGGCCCUGCUUUUGUGGGGUGCUCGAGUGGCGAACGGGUGAGUAACAAGUGAGUAACCUGCCCUUGACUUUGGGAUAACUUCAGGAAACUGGGGCUAAUACCGGAUAGGAGCUCCUGCUGCAUGGUGGGGGUUGGAAAGUUUCGGCGGUUGGGGAUGGACUCGCGGCUUAUCAGCUUGCUGGUGGGGUAGUGGCUUACCAAGGCUUUGACGGGUAGCCGGCCUGAGAGGGUGACCGGCCACAUUAGGACUGAGAGACGGCCCAGACUCCUACGGGAGGCAGCAGUGGGGAAUAUGGCACAAUGGGCGGAAGCCUGAUGCAGCAACGCCGCGUGCGGGAUGACGGCCUUCGGGUUGUAAAGCGCUUUCGCCUGUGACGAGGCGUGAGUGACGGUAAUGGGUAAAGAAGCACCGGCUAACUACGUG